AGUGAACGCUGGCGGUAGGCCUAACACAUGCAAGUCGAACGGCAGCACAGUAAGAGCUUGCUCUUACGGGUGGCGAGUGGCGGACGGGUGAGGAAUACAUCGGAAUCUACUUUUUCGUGGGUGAUAACGUAGGGAAACUUACGCUAAUACCGCAUACGACCUACGGGUGAAAGCAGGGGAUCUUCGGACCUUGCGCGAUUGAAUGAGCCGAUGUCGGAUUAGCUAGUUGGCGGGGUAAAGGCCCACCAAGGCGACGAUCCGUAGCUGGUCUGAGAGGAUGAUCAGCCACACUGGAACUGAGACACGGUCCAGACUCCUACGGGAGGCAGCAGUGGGGAAUAUUGGACAAUGGGCGCAAGCCUGAUCCAGCCAUACCGCGUGGGUGAAGAAGGCCUUCGGGUUGUAAAGCCCUUUUGUUGGGAAAGAAAAGCAGCAGGUUAAUACCCCGCUGUUCUGACGGUACCCAAAGAACAAGCACCGGCUAACUUCGUG
rnacentral:rRNA from 1 species